AUGCUGAUUACGCCCGAACUGCCCUCCUUUGACAUAAAAGAUUCCCGAGCCCCUCGACUGAAAUCCCGACUAAACUGCAAGUUUCCCUUCUUGAAAUUACUGCGUCUGAAGCUUCCAAUAUCGCCAACUUCGCCGGAGAACCGUGCGCCCGUGCUCGAGCAGAGUUUUGGCGGCCUUCUGUGUGAGGUAGACUUGACUGAUGAGGGCUUGAAAAGGGGCCUUGGUUGUCUGUCAACUGAAAACUCUGUUUGUGCACAACCUAUAUCCUCUAUGAGAAGGAACUGGAUGGAGCAAGGAGAUGACUGUCAACUCAUGCAAUGGUUAGAGCAAAGUAAGGUAUGCAAAGAAGUUGGAUUUGCGACAAUAUCACAUGAAUCCUUCUUCAGGUUAUUUCCAAAUGUCCAGUUUUAUGAGAGGAAGAUUAGCAUGGCGGCCAAGUUGAAGGUGCACUUCCACGCCGGCGGCCCGAGCUCGACGGCAAUCCGACGCAGGCAGCGUCCACCAACAGCUCCUCCUCCAAGGACGAGGUGGGCCACGCGCAAGAGACCUACGUGCAGAUUUGCUGUUUCAUGGCGAGGCUGGUCGUGGCAUGGAUGGAGUCGUUGCCAUCGUCGUCCUGUGAUGGCUCACUCGAAACAUGACAACACUGCAGCAACUACUAUGUCUAUUCUCGAUCUUGGAUUCGUGGGAUCCCAAUCCUUCAACCCAUUAGCUAUUUCCGGGCACAUCAGUGGAAUUGAGCAUCUCAAUGAAACUAAUUUUCCUUCCUGGAAGGAGCAUAUUCUGAAUGCCCUUGUGAUCAUGGACCUUGACGGUGCACUUAGAGAAAAAACUCCUAUUCCUCCGCCUUCUGAUGAUGAAAACCUUCUUGAGAAAAGUAAGGUUUAUGAGGCUAAUAAAGAGAAAUGGGAGCGCUCCAACUGCAUGGUUGUCAAGCUCAUGAAAAGCACAAUAACUCGUGGGACCAGGGGAGCAAUUCCGGACGCUGGCAUAGGAAUUGAGAUUUCCGAGGGCAUCUUGGUAGACUUCAUUGUGAAUUCCCUUCAUAUGGAGUAUGGUCCAUUUAGGAUCAAUUAUAUCACUCGAAAGGAUAAGUGGACCAUGACUGAGCUCAUAGCUAUGUGCGUUCAAGAAGAAGAACAUCUCAUGGGCAUGGUAUGGACUAAUGAUGUUAACCAUUCAAUCAAGUGGGAGAAUGUUAGAAUUAAUAGAUGCGAGAUGGGGACCGAGGGAGGAAGGAAGGACGCGCGAAGGAGUAGGCGUUGUCCACUCCAGCCGACGGAGGCAACCCUAGCCUUUCACCUUCCAUGUCUCAGAUGCAGCUCGGGGGAAAAUGAAUCACUAGGCCGCAGACGCGAGGAGGACGAAGCAGCGCAGCGUCGGCGGCUUGCGGCUGACCGUGCCCUGCCACCCCCGUCCGCCCCCAUUGUCACUCUGCCCCAUCUUGCAUUCUCGGCGGCGGCGACGGAGCCCUCGUUCUCAUCGGGCGCCCGUUCCCUUCGUCCUCAGAAAAUGGCAAAAUUAGUUGAUGGUAGCAUACAGAACAUUGAAAGAGACACAAUUGUUAAAUGGGAGGUUGAGUUUACAGAGAUUGAUCCACAAGUUCUACAGAACAUGGGAGAGAAGGCAGUGAAGAAAUGGGUGGAAAAAAUUGGGGAGAAUAUUGUUUGGGGUCCAGAGCAAGAAGUAUCACUGUUGCGGUUUGAUGAUUGGAAAGGAGAAUAUGUGAGAAUAGAAGAUGGUGAACAGACUGUUGAAGGAAUCGAUCGGCAAAACGGCUGGACAAGCAAACGGGCUAAUUGUUUUGCUGAGCUCAUUGAUCUGAAUAUUUUUUUCGAAGGUUGGAUAUGUGUCAUCACACUUGGCUAUGCAGAUGUUGAAUUAGACGAGCCUACUGAUUUGGUCAUUGCACCAAUGCCUGACAUUGAGAUGGCCAAACUUUUUGGCAUUCCAGUCGAUGACAGAGAUAAGCAGGAGAUGAGCGAAUCUAGUUUGCCUACUAAUGCUGAUGAAGAUGUAGAUGGACAGUUGAUGGAACAAGCUGCAGAUGAAGUAGAUGAUGCACAUGAUGAUGAGCUGGUGCAUGUGUAUGACAAAGAAAACCCUGUCGUUGAAGUGGGGAAGCUGCGGCCAAGUAUGAAUGAAUUUAGAAUGUGUUUGAAGACUUAUGCAGUGAAACAUGAGUUUGAUGCCAAGACUGUUUGGAUUGAUAGAAAGAAGUUUUAUGCGAGGUGCAGAGGAUUUGAUGGUAGUGUCAAGCCUUGCAAGUGUGGGGUUUGGAUCAACGUCUCUCGUUGGGGCAUUAGGACCGUUCAUUUGAAUCCAACGGCACGAGUUGACACGGUGCAUGGACCAAGCCUACGCAGUGCCCUUUCCAUUGUUGCAUGCGUGCCUACCCGCAGCGCCGGCGCCCGUUGCAGCAUGCAUGCCCACCCGCAGCACUGCGCCCUGCAUGGCAUGCUCCUCCUUGAACGACACAAUACUGGCAUGAUGGGUAUCGAUGCAGUUCAAAUGGCGUGCUGCUUGUUACAAGAUGGGCAAAUUAAGGCGUCCAUUAUUCCGGGCACUAUCGUCUUCCUCUCCCUCCUCAUUCAUACCCCAUCCUCUUCCUCCUCUGCCCUCCUUCUUCCUUCUUCUCCAUCAAACCCGAUCGAGCCCUCGAGCCACCAUGCAGUACAACGCCCCCACCUACCGCUUCCCCCCAACCGUGCCGGAAAGGCUCUACCCGGCCGGAGUCUACGUAGAGAGAACCCUAAGGGUGUGGGUGAUCUCAAGGUGGAGGGGCGCAAGGGAGUUAACGGGGUUCUUCCUUGCGGCCGGCUUCCGCCAGCUCCCCCCGGCUCUCCAAGGAUGUACCAUGUUGAGGAGGUCAACCACAAUGGCGUUGUGGUUGGGCUCCUCGCUACGUUCACUAACCCCUUCGAUGCUUUCCACCUCCUCGGGCGAGUGUAUUGGGUUGGUUGUGAGUUCAUAGCUUUCACCACCCAUAACAUCUUCACCGACUUCAACAACAUCUUCCCCAACAACGGUGUUAUGCACACGCUCCCGUACCCCAUCAACAACGGGGAGGAGUGA
rnacentral:rRNA from 1 species